UAAUACGUAGGGCGCAAGCGUUGUCCGGAAUUAUUGGGCGUAAAGAGCUCGUAGGCGGUCUGUCACGUCGGAUGUGAAAGCCCGGGGCUUAACCCCGGGUCUGCAUUCGAUACGGGCAGACUAGAGUGUGGUAGGGGAGAUCGGAAUUCCUGGCGUAGCGGUGAAAUGCGCAGAUAUCAGGAGGAACACCGGUGGCGAAGGCGGAUCUCUGGGCCAUUACUGACGCUGAGGAGCGAAAGCGUGGGGAGCGAACAGGAUUAGAUACCCUGGUAGUCCACGCCGUAAACGGUGGGAACUAGGUGUUGGCGACAUUCCACGUCGUCGGUGCCGCAGCUAACGCAUUAAGUUCCCCGCCUGGGGAGUACGGCCGCAAGGCU
rnacentral:rRNA from 1 species